GGAGUGUCUCGGCUACUACCGGAGAUUUGUGCUCGAAUGCAAUCGGUGGAUAGAGACGAAGGGUUUCACAUAAGGCUCCAUGCAAGUAAACCAAGUUGUUGAGCUCUUCGAUGGAUUUUUUGAGAGAACGAAGAAAAACCAGGAGAGAGUUACGCUGAGUGCAUCACGACCAGCAAUCAUGAAAUUUAAGACUGUGUCUCUCAAGAACUUGUCAUUGCAGUCGAUCUCGUCGUGUUCAUUCACCAUAUACCUGCAAUAAAGGAUAUGAAUAAAAGUAAAGUUAGAUACAUGUAAAAAUUUAUAUUGACAAAAGAUUUUUAUAUCCCGUGGUAAUGAAACAUAUUAAAAGAUUAACAUAUGUUGUAUAUGGUAUUAAUUAUUUAUAUAUGAAUGUAAUAACAAUGAUGAUA